UACGGAGGGGGCUAGCGUUGUUCGGAAUUACUGGGCUUAAAGCGCAUGUAGGCGGCUUCGCAAGUCAGAGGUGAAAGCCCGGGGCUCAACCCCGGAACUGCCUUUGAGACUGCGUCGCUCGAAUCCGGGAGAGGCGGCUGGAAUGUGGCAUGUAGAGGUGAAAUUCGUAGAUAUUUGGCAGAACACCAAUGGCGAAGGCGGGCCGCUGGACCGGCAUUGACGCUGAGGUGCGAAAGCGUGGGGAGCAAACAGG
rnacentral:rRNA from 1 species